ACGCUGGCGGCGUGCCUAAUACAUGCAAGUCGAACGCUGGAGAUCUAGCUUGCUAGAUCGAAGGAGUGGCGAACGGGUGAGUAAUACAUAAGCAACCUACCCACGAAGACUGGGAUAAUCUCUGGAAACGGGGACUAAUACCGGAUAGGUAAUCGGAAGGCAUCUUCUGAUUAUUAAAGGUUAAAAACACUGGUGGAUGGGCUUAUGGCGCAUUAGUUAGUUGGUGAGGUAACGGCCCACCAAAACGAUGAUGCGUAGCCGGCCUGAGAGGGUGAACGGCCACAUUGGGACUGAGACACGGCCCAGACUCCUACGGGAGGCAGCAGUAGGGAAUUUUCGGCAAUGGGGGAAACCCUGACCGAGCAACGCCGCGUGAGUGAUGACGGCCUUCGGGUUGUAAAGCUCUGUUGUAAGGGAAGAACGGUAGAUAGAGAAUAUCUAAGUGACGGUACCUUACCAGAAAGCCACGGCUAACUACGUGCCAGCAGCCGCGGUAAUACGUAGGUGGCGAGCGUUAUCCGGAAUUAUUGGGCGUAAAGGGUGCGUAGGCGGCCUGUUAAGUAAGUGGUUAAAUUGUUGGGCUCAACCCAAUCCAGCCACUUAAACUGGCAGGCUAGAGUAUUGGAGAGGCAAGUGGAAUUCCAUGUGUAGCGGUAAAAUGCGUAGAUAUAUGGAGGAACACCAGUGGCGAAGGCGGCUUGCUAGCCAAAGACUGACGCUCAUGCACGAAAGCGUGGGGAGCAAAUAGGAUUAGAUACCCUAGUAGUCCACGCCGUAAACGAUGAAUACUAAGUAUUGGGGAAACUCAGUGCUGUAGCUAACGCAAUAAGUAUUCCGCCUGUGGAGUAUGCACGCAAGUGUGAAACAUAAAGGAAUUGACGGGGGCCCGCACAAGCGGUGGAGUAUGUGG
rnacentral:rRNA from 1 species